AUUGAACGCUGGCGGCAUGCCUUACACAUGCAAGUCGAACGGCAGCACGGGAGCAAUCCUGGUGGCGAGUGGCGAACGGGUGAGUAAUAUAUCGAAACGUGCCCGGUCGUGGGGAUAACGUAGCGAAAGCUACGCUAAUACCGCAUACGAUCUACGGAUGAAAGCGGGGGAUCGCAAGACCUCGCGCGAUUGGAGCGGCCGAUAUCAGAUUAGGUAGUUGGUGAGGUAAAGGCUCACCAAGCCGACGAUCUGUAGCUGGUCUGAGAGGACGACCAGCCACACUGGGACUGAGACACGGCCCAGACUCCUACGGGAGGCAGCAGUGGGGAAUUUUGGACAAUGGGCGCAAGCCUGAUCCAGCAAUGCCGCGUGCAGGAUGAAGGCC
rnacentral:rRNA from 1 species